CCCUGGCUGGCUCAGUUGGAAGAGCACAUGGUUCUUGAUCUUGGGGUUGUGAGUUCGAGCCCCACGUUAGGUG
rnacentral:tRNA from 1 species